GUGGAAAUACUACUGGCUUAGGUUGAUUCUAUAUAUGCUUCUCGCACUUUGCAUCGGUACUGUAUUUUCUGGAUUGGGGCAUACCUUAUCAUCUGCUGUGACACGAGUAGCAGCAAUUUUUGUAUUUGUUUCAUUCACCUCUCUAUUGAGCAUUGCCGGUGUACCUGCACAGAUGAAAGAAAUUAAGAUAUACGCCUGCGAGGAAUCAAACCAGCAUUCUGGUGCAUUUAUUUUCCUACUUGGGCAGCUUUUUGCCAGCAUCCCUUUCUUGUUUCUCAUCUCCAUUUCGUCAAGUCUGGUCUUCUAUUUUCUAAUAGGACUGCGACAUGAGUUCAGCUUGCUGAUGUACUUUGUGCUGAAUUUCUUUGCGUGUCUAUUGGUAAAUGAGGGUCUGCUGCUGCUGGUUGCUUCCAUUUGUCAAAAUAUCUUCUGGAGCAUCUUAAGUUUUGUGUCCAUACAUGUGAUAAUGAUGCUUUCGGCUGGUUUUUUUAGAAUCAGAAGUGCUUUGCCUAGACCAGCAUGGAUGUACCCCAUUUCUUAUAUAGCUUUUCAUACCUACUCUAUCCAGGGGCUCUUGGAGAACGAGUACAUCGAGACCUCUUUUGCUGUUGGUCAGGUGAGGACCAUAUCUGGUAAUCAGGCUUUGCAAAAUGUAUAUGACAUAUCUGCUGAUAGCAACUCGAAG
rnacentral:misc_RNA from 1 species